rnacentral:rRNA from 1 species
UGAGGAAUAUUGGUCAAUGGGCGGGAGCCUGAACCAGCCAAGCCGCGUGAGGGAGGAAGGCCCUAUGGGUCGUAAACCUCUUUUGUCAGGGAACAAAAGCGAGUAUGUAUACUAGUCUGAGUGUACCUGAAGAAAAACGCAUCGGCUAACUCCGUGCCAGCAGCCGCGGUAAUACGGAGGAUGCGAGCGUUAUCCGGAUUUAUUGGGUUUAAAGGGUGCGUAGGCGGCGGUGCAAGUCAGCGGUAAAAGCCCGGGGCUCAACCCCGGCGAGCCGUUGAAACUGCAGUGCUAGAGAAGGCGAGAGGUACGCGGAAUGCGCAGUGUAGCGGUGAAAUGCUUAGAUAUUGCGCAGAACUCCGAUUGCGAAGGCAGCGUACUGGCGCCUGACUGACGCUGAGGCACGAAAGCGUGGGUAUCGAACAGGAUUAGAUACC